UGAGGUAGAGGUGCGGCUGCGAUCAGUAACCCCUUUCCCGGACGACCGGUCCUAUGGGAAGUGAUGAAAGGCAAUGCCGCCGAAGAACGGUCUCUGGUAAAUUCCGUUCUGGCCGCCGGCUCAAUAGGUCUGCGGCUGUCAUCAUGGUUUUGAUGGAGAGCUACUGG
rnacentral:ncRNA from 1 species